rnacentral:rRNA from 1 species
CCUACGGGCGGCAGCAGUGAGGAAUAUUGGUCAAUGGGCGCGAGCCUGAACCAGCCAAGUCGCGUGAGGGAGGACGGCCCUACGGGUUGUAAACCUCUUUUGCCGGGGAGCAACGGGCGCCACGUGUGGCGUCACUGAGAGUACCCGGAGAAAAAGCAUCGGCUAACUCCGUGCCAGCAGCCGCGGUAAUACGGAGGAUGCGAGCGUUAUCCGGAUUUAUUGGGUUUAAAGGGUGCGUAGGCGGCUCGUUAAGUCAGUGGUCAAAUUGAGGGGCUCAACCCCUUCCCGCCAUUGAGACUGGCGUGCUUGAGUGGAAGAGAAGUAUGCGGAAUGCGUGGUGUAGCGGUGAAAUGCAGCGAUAGCACGCAGAACCACGAUUGCGAAGGCAGCAUGCCGGCUUCCGACUGACGCUGAAGCACGAAAGCGUGGUGAUCGAACAGGAUUAGAUACCCGGGUAGGC